UACGUAGGGUGCAAGCGUUGUCCGGAAUUAUUGGGCGUAAAGAGCUCGUAGGCGGUCUGUCGCGUCUGCUGUGAAAACUCAGGGCUUAACCCUGAGCUUGCAGUGGGUACGGGCAGACUAGAGUGCGGUAGGGGAGACUGGAAUUCCUGGUGUAGCGGUGAAAUGCGCAGAUAUCAGGAGGAACACCGGUGGCGAAGGCGGGUCUCUGGGCCGAUACUGACGGCUGAGGAGCGGAAAGCCCAGGGGAGGCAAACGGG
rnacentral:rRNA from 1 species